UACAGUAUCACCCUGUUUUAACUGCAACAAAGAGUUGUCCACAAUGGGGCCUCACCUCUCAAAGCCGCUGUAUAUCAACACUGCAAGUGUGCCGCACGACCAGAGCCCUCUCUGUGUGUUUACACACACAGACAGUCGACUGUAGCAGAGUGGCAGGUGAUGCGUUGGUGAAGGAAGAUUUGGAUGUCACCUGUAUACGAAAGGAAGUCGGUGAUGGCGGGAUGAGGAAACUAUGGUAGAGAUAAGAGGAUUCCUUUGGCCAUCUAUUUCCAUAUUAGUUGUGAGAGGCAGGCCUGGCCGAGCUGGAUGGAUGACACUAUCAGGGAUUGAAGCUAAUGGAGGAGCUGUAUGAGUGAUCUCUACCAGGGAAAGCCUAUUAGACCUGACAGGGGGAUGAUGAUAUUAGACCAUCAUCAUUCAGAAGACACCACCCCCACACCUUCAUCCAUCUUUCCCUCUCUCUAUCUCUAUCUCUAUACCUCCUUCACUUUUCUCAGUCUGUCCCUUUUUCUUCGCUU